rnacentral:rRNA from 1 species
GAUGAACGCUAGCUACAGGCUUAACACAUGCAAGUCGAGGGGCAGCAUUAUCGAAGCUUGCUUUGAUAGAUGGCGACCGGCGCACGGGUGAGUAACGCGUAUCCAACCUUCCCCAUAGUCAGGAAUAGCCCGGCGAAAGUCGAAUUAAUGCCUGAUGUUUUCCACGGACGGCAUCCGAUGUGGAACAAAGAUUCAUCGCUAUGGGAUGGGGAUGCGUCUGAUUAGCUUGUUGGCGGGGUAACGGCCCACCAAGGCAACGAUCAGUAGGGGUUCUGAGAGGAAGGUCCCCCACAUUGGAACUGAGACACGGUCCAAACUCCUACGGGAGGCAGCAGUGAGGAAUAUUGGUCAAUGGACGGGAGUCUGAACCAGCCAAGUAGCGUGCAGGAUGACGGCCCUAUGGGUUGUAAACUGCUUUAUAGGGGGAUAAAGUGUGCCACGUGUGGCAUAUUGCAGGUACCCUAUGAAUAAGGACCGGCUAAUUCCGUGCCAG